CAGAAGGCAUAAGAUUUCCUAUUCUUGGAAGCCUCUAGAAGAAAGCCUUUACAAGGACCUUUACACUCUAAAUAUGAGAGAAAGAGAGAGGAAGAGGGGAUCUCCUAGGGAAUAAGCAGGAAAGACCUAAAUAUUCUCAGUUUCAAAAUUCCCCAUACAAAUUAGUCUUAAGCAUAUCUCUAUUUCUAUUUAGGUCUCAUCACUUCACAUUGUGCAGAAAAACACCAUGGACAAAGGUGUGAAGAAGACAUUCCCCAGUGAGACUGGUGGAACAACCCAGUAUAGGACACAGACAUCCAGUCUACCUAAAGAUGAGGGAAAAGGGAGAACAUCUCAGCCUAUCAGUCAUAUGCCAAACUCAUUUGAUGUUCUAGAUUCUCUCCUGGUCAAAUUAAGUGAGGAAAAGAAUGAACCGAGUCACAACCAAGGGAUUGUCAUAGCGAAUAUAAGUCUACUCCACCCAAGUAGUCAUCUAGAAAUCCUGCCACCCUCACAAACUGACCUGUCCCAUGAGCAACCAAAAGAAUCAAAGGUGAAAGUGACAAGGAAGAAGAAAAGGAAAGAUAAUGAGGAUGGAAAGUUUCUCAAAAGAAAGAGAGAAGAGUCUUUUCAAAAAACAGUGCAAUGCCUCUUAGAAAUGGUUGAAAUGAUGGAAAACAUUGUACAGAAUUUGAUCAGCAGACAAAGAAAAUCUAAACCUUGAGACCACUUGCAACUCCUGCCUACAUUUUGCCUCACCAUAUCCUCCAUAAGUCCUCUGGAAAGCCUACAGAAUAUUUGCUGUUGCGGUGAUUUCAGUUUGAGUAAAGUCUGCAAGGGAAAAUAUCAUGUCCUGUGUUAAUGGUACAUUAGAAAGGGG
rnacentral:lncRNA from 1 species